CCUACGGGAGGCAGCAGUGGGGAAUAUUGGACAAUGGGCGCAAGCCUGAUCCAGCCAUACCGCGUGUGUGAAGAAGGCCUUCGGGUUGUAAAGCACUUUAAGUAAGGAAGAAAAGUAUAUUGUUAAUACCAAUGUACCGUGACAUUACUUACAGUAUAAGGACCGGCUAAUUCCGUGCCAGCAGCCGCGGUAAUACGGAAGGUCCAAGCGUUAAUCGGAAUUACUGGGCGUAAAGCGCGCGUAGGUGGUUUAUUAAGUUGGGUGUGAAAGCCCCGGGCUCAACCUGGGAACUGCAUCCAAAACUGAUUCACUAGAGUACGAAAGAGGGAGGUAGAAUUCACAGUGUAGCGGUGGAAUGCGUAGAUAUUGUGAAGAAUACCAAUGGCGAAGGCAGCCUCCUGGUUCUGUACUGACACUGAGGUGCGAAAGCGUGGGUAGCGAACAGGAUUAGAUACCCUGGUAGUCCACGCCGUAAACGAUGACAACCAGCUGUUGGGAAGCAAUGCUUUUCAGUGGCGCAGCUAACGUCUUAAGUUGUCCGCCUGGGGAGUACGGCCGCAAGGUUAAAACUCAAAUGAAUUGACGGA
rnacentral:rRNA from 1 species